AAGGAUUGUCACUAAGUUGCUCUGAAAGUUGGCUCAAAGGAUUGUCACUAAUGAGUUGCUCUGAAGCUUUGCUCAAAGGAUUGUCACUAAAUUGCUCUGAAACUUCGUUCAAAGGAUCGCCACUAAUUUCCAGCAGUGGAAAAACUGCUGUCGCAGAAAGAAGACUCUAAGCUUCCACGAGAAAAACAACCGAGGCGAAAAGGGGUCACUUCAGCGAGCUACUCACAUCAGCUCCGGGACGGCUCAGCGGGAACGAGAGAGGCCCGCGGAUCAAAGAGGGUUGCCAGGCAAAAUACACGCGGACACCCAAGCAGCAGCAGUGUUAUAUUUGCGUGGUCGCACGCCUAAGCUAACCGGGAGGAUCUACUAACCGUAGAGAAACCUUACAAUGAAAUCGACCCGAUUGUCCCAGCUGUAGGCCAUCCCUCCGAGGUACUCCUUGAACACCCUGCACCGAUCGAUUCUCUUUUGCUCUUCCUUGUUCUCCCUCUGUUCCUCCUUUCAGCUUCUCCUUCAGGACGAUGUGGCAACCACGAGGAUCGUCGAGCAGCUACUCUCGAUUAACUACCCUAACGUAAGCCGAGAAGCGGAUCCGCACGCGUCGUGACGAGGUGAAAGUGGCUCGAGAGGAUGGUGGUUCCGCACUGAGACCGCCGCGAGACUACGCGAGUUCGGCCGGCUAAGUUUAGAGUACCCCGCCGAAGGGAAGGACAGGAGAGGACCGCUCGCUCCUCCGCGCCGGAGAGAAGGGGCCUCUCUCAGGUGUGUCACCGUGACACAGUCACCGAACCCGCCGGAAACCGAUUAUUCGCUUUCGCCGGCUCCGUACGGUGCCCUCUAUCUUAGCCGUGACACCCUUGCUCUUUCUUUUGCGAGGACUCGACCGUGGCGACUUUCUGAAUGGUAGGCUAGGUAGAUCCUUCGGUAUGGGAACUCUAAGGGGCAACGUAGAAUGCAGACGAUACGGUUAAAUCUAUGAAAUAUUCUACUGACAUCGUUCUAUGAUAGAUUCAUUAGAAGGGACUCUGGUCUACUGUAAUUCCAUUUCUCUAGUUGUGUCAUUAACCCUUUGCGGUCUGAAGUGCUCUGGUUUCUCACUUUGAGUCAUUGAAAUGUUACCUUUAAAUGGUACAAUUGUACCAUUACAGGUACAGAUAAAUAUUACAGAUAAAUAUAGAAGAAAUUGUUAAAACAGGUAGAGGUUGCAAUAAAAUUGAAUGACAUAGUACUGCUAAGGGUUAACCCCAUACAAUGAUUUGAUGAUGAUUUAACAGUAGAACUACCGAGCAUUUAAUACGAUUAAUGUGUAAUGCGUAUAAAAAUUGUAACAGUAGAUUAUUGUCAUUUGUUGACAUUCAUUAUAGUAUUCGAAUGAAGUUAUUUAUUUUCAAGACAUAAUCAUUGCGAAACAAAAAGAAAACCAGUCAUUUUGACUGGUAGUUCUAGUGUUAACGAUGAAGAUUUCUAGAUUAAUUUAACGGAACUGAGUGUUAUUCAUUUCCGCAAUUAUUUCCAUAUCGCCAACGUGUUGUCUUCGAGUGAAAUUUCCACUGAACAUUUUGAUUGCCACGUUACCCGAAUACGGCGACUUUUGUCUUUCUAUUUAGAGUGGUUUGCAAUCUUUAUGCUACGCUUCCUUGAACAUUCUUUAGCGGCUCUUUAUCUUUUAACAGGAUUUCUGUAGGUAUCAGGAGACAGCUUUGGAAUGUUUAAGUUAAAAUUGUUUUCUGAGUUCGGUCGUGUAUUCUGAACUGACUAUUCGAGAUGAGAUUAUAGGAAAUGAACAGAUUUCUGUUGGAGACAGAUGAUUCAACUGGGAGGAUUGAGGACAGUAAAGUAGGACUUUGUUUAUACAGAAUUCUUGGAAGCUGAAGUGAUUCGAGUGACUGAAUUAUUCUGAUGACUGUACAGUUUGAUAUUUAUUACCUUUAUUGUGAUAUCAGACACUUUUGUACAACAGCAAAAAGAUUGAAGGAUGAUAGAACGAUGAUUCUGUUUAUAUUUUAUAGUAUAUUGAUAGUAAGUCUCAUUUAUUUAACACUAGAACUACUGAUCACUUAAACUUUUUACAUAUUAAGACUUCAGUUGAGUUGUACUUCAGUUUUGCUAUUACAGAAUUAGUUUCGUUAAUCAUCUUCCAAGAAGCCUCUCCAUCUUCUCAGUAAUAGUAAACGAAAUCAGAAAUAAGUCUGGUAGUUCUAGCGUUAAUGGUGCAUCCGUUCACUCCAGCGUUCCAACGUUUAGAGCUCAGCAUCCCAAGGAUCUCCGGGAACCGUGCUUCCCCUAGAACCCAUAAACGUUCAUUUACAAACGGUCCUCUCCUCGCACAGUAAAACGCGAAUCCACGAACUCGCCCGGCGAUCCACCGAUAUUAUGAGUUUGUAUUUCAUUGUGCAACAGGCCGCAGCCUGUACAUUUAUAGAGAGCCAGAUACUGUGGUAAAUUACUUUGACGCGAACAAUUUUAGAAUUCGGUGUUGUAGCGAGAGUUAUAACAGCCGAGAAGAGAACUCGACGGAAUACAAAUUGUGCGCUCACCGCGUGGCAAUUAUGCACAAUCAUGAACCACCUUUUAGGGGUUCACAUCAGUGUCGCCAAGGAAUCCUGAGAUCUAGGUGCAGCCUUUGGAUUUGAUCUGGAUUAAUAAUGAAGUAUUCAGUUUGCGUGUUACCAGAUGAAUUUAAUCAUUUCUCAGAGAAACAUGUUAGUAAUUGCAAAAGAAGAAUCUAAGGGUUGAGAAUUUAAUUUGUUCUAGAGUUUCAAUGUAAAAGAAUUAGUACACUGUGACAGAUACAUUAGAGAUCUUCGAGUUCCUGUAACUUUCUAAUAAAAGGUCGUAGAACAUUUCACCUGGACUCAUUAUAAAGUCUGAGGCUUCUACUUUCGCCUUCCAGUUUUACACUUGAACCCUUGUAACUUGACACUAGAACUACCAGAGAGGUCAAAACGACACAUUCUUGACUGCUUCUUUUUACUAUGAUUAAGAAUGUAAUAGAUAUUUCUCUGAGAAAUUAUUACAGAAAUUGAUUCAACGAUAGGCAAACUGAAUUGUAAAUCAAUAGAAAUCUCAAUAGUAGCACUGUUGGAGUUUCCAUAGAAAAAUGUCAAAAUUCUAUUGAGGUAAAAUGAUUAGACUAAGAAAAUAAUUUUAAGAUACAAUUUCAAUUUAUUCCCAAUAACGAUUAUACAAUGAAGUAUAGAAAAUGUCCAAAAUUCCAUUGAGGAAAAAUU